CUGGUCCUUUCUCCUGAUCUUCUGGAAGUUUCUUUCUGAAUCUAGAAAAACUCUCCUCACCAGAGAGGAAUGAUGUAAGCAGGCUUAAUUAAAUGCCUGCUAUGUAUAAUGAAGCAUAUUGUUAGGUGCAGCAUGGGACAUAGAAGUUCAAAGCCUAUAGCUCUUGGGGAUAUUUUUAUUUAGUUGGAAAGACAAGACAGAAACAUUCAAAGUAAAGUAAAUUUAUUCCUUAUAUUUAGGUAGCCCUUGCUUAUCUACCUCUUCUGAAACUUUGCAAUAAUUCUGUGAUGUUGGUAGAAAGGGAAUGUGAUGUUAGGUAAGAAGUCAGAUGGUCGGCACAUCCAUCCCACAGCCACACUGCUGAUAUUAAGGGAUUUGUUAAUGUCAUAUGGCUCCUAAAGAGCUAGGAUAUGCAUCCAUAUCUUCCAGCUCCAAGUCCAAGUUUUUUUUCUUUUUAAAAAAUAUUGUGUCACAUUAUACCCUCUAAUGCCAAGUUAAUUUAAAAUAAAGAAAAAGCCAUAUAAGAUUGCAGAAGGAAUUUUUGUGGUUGUGGUAGUUAAGAGGGAAGAAGUCAUUUGAAAGAGUUUGGGGAGUCUUCAGUGAAGAAGGAUAAUGUAGCAGUACCUUGAAAGAUGAGCAGGACUUAUCUGGGCAGACAAAGAGGAUGAGCAAUCCAAGAGAGGGGAUGAGAGGGAGAAAAACACAGUAUGUUCAAAGAAUAAGGAUUAGACCAGUGUCCUCAGGCGAUGUGAAAUCUAGAUUGUUUCAGUCCAAUUGAAUGCGUCAUCUAAAUUUCCCAGGUGUGGGAAUCAGUGUUUAGGUUAGAGGGACCACACAGUUGGUUCCUUCUUUUACUUCAUGCUCUUGCACAGAAUCCACUGUGUAGAAUUAGGGAGACAUAACUUCAGAUACCUGACUGGUGGAAUUAAAGGUGGUAGUUUUAGGCUGGGUUGUGUUUCAUGGACUACCCUGUGUGCUUUCUACAGGCAGUGUGUUGCUUGUUUUGGAUAGUUGGGAGCAGCUUCUCUCACCUUAAGGAACUGUGAGUAGAUGGUGUGCGGGACCAUAUACACACACAAAAUAGCCAACUAAAGAAAGCGGUGGAGCUUUUUGUCCGACAUCUUAGCAAGCCUGUGGUGUCCGCUGCUGCUCUCCGAGCUUCGCAAUGCCGCCCAAGGACGACAAGAAGAAGGACGCCGGAAAGUCGGCCAAGAAAGACAAAGACCCGGUGAACAAAUCCGGGGGCAAGGCCAAAAAGAAGAAGCGGUCCAAAGGCAAAGUUCGGGACAAGCUCAUUAACUUAGUCUUGUUUGACAAAGCUGCCUACGACAAACUCUGUAAGGAAGUUCCCAACUAUAAACUUACAACCCCAGCUGUGGUCUCUGAGAGACUGAAGAUUCGAGGCUCCCUGGCCAGGGCAGCCCUUCAGGAGCUCCUUAGUAAAGGACUUAUCAAACUGGUUUCAAAGCACAGAGCUCAAGUAAUUUACACCGGAAAUACCAAGGGUGGACAUGCUCCAGCUGCUGGUGAAGAUGCAUGAAUAGGUCCAACCAACUGUACAUUGGGAAAAAUAAAACUUCAUUAAAUAAA